GCUGUUAUUUCAUAUCCACCGUCUACGUUUCUUACGACGAAGCAAAACAACAUUGUUCAAGCUUUGAUUCAAGACUGUUUGAAAUAAAUUCAAAUGACGAAGCGGUAUGACUGACACCACUGUAUGAUUCCACACAAACACACGAACGUCUUCUACACUGGGGGUGAGAGGCAGUGAUUGAAGCUCUGUACUCUCUUCAGACACAAAGUGAAAAUUCAUCUGCACCUCCCCAUCACACACACCCGGUGUCAGACACAGAGUGAUUAUUCCUCUACACCGCCCAUCACACAGUCCCGGGGUCAGACACAGAGUGAAUCUCCCUCCACACGGUCCCAUCACACACUCCCAGGGACAGACACAGAGCGAUUAUUCCUCUACAAGGUCCCAUCAAACACUCCCGGGGUCAGACACAGAGUGAAUCUCCCUCCACACCGUCCAAUCACACACUCCCGGGGUCAGACACAGAGUGAAUCUCGCUCCACACCGCCCCAUCCCAUACUCCCUGGGUCAGUCACAGAGUGAAUCUCCUUCCACACCGUCCCGUCACACACUCCCGGGAUCAGACUCAUAGUGAAUCUCUUCGCAUUCUGUCCCAUCUCACGCACCCGGAGUGAAUCUCCCUCCACACCGUCCCAUUACACACUCCCGGGGACAGACACAAUCUCAAUCUCUUCGCACUCUGUCACAUCUCACGCAGCCGGGUACAUGCACUGAAAGAUUCUCCUUCCAAGCAUUUAUAGACGAUAAUUCAUUUCACAGAGUUUUAUUUCCAACUCUAUUCUCUACCGUUACCGGACAUAUUGGAUCGGAAAAUGUGAAGACAGGAACGUGGAAUCUAAUAUCCUGUAUACUGUGAAAGAUAGAAAACCCACCUGCACUCGGUGUAAAGCGUACGGAUGGACUUACAACUGUAGUGAUGGACACUAUUUCAUCUGUGAGAAGUCUGCUCCUUUGUCCCCGGAUGUUCUUGAAAAGAUGCUUGAUCUCUGUCAAGAUCCCAUGGGUGCACUUUGAGUCAAGUGACGACCCCUCUUUCCACAACCCCCGCAUCUCUCCCUAACUCUCACUCCCCUAUCCUCUCCCAAUCUCCCAACCUCUCUGCCCCAUUCUCCUGGCUCACUCUCGUCCCCAUUCUCUACCCCGCUCUCCUUCGCAACUCCUCUCUAUACCCAACCUGCCCGCUGCUGAUCUCCAUCUCCCACUCUGUUUCCCCUUUCCUACCCCGUCCUUAUCAUAGUCCCGUCCUUUCCGCUCUCCCUUCUCUUUCCAGCCUAUCUUUCCCUACUCACUGCACACCCACUCUCAUCUGCAUUCUGUGCCCUCUGUCUAUUGAUUACCCCAACCUUGCGGAAAAUGUCUCUGCACAUUCACCCUAUCUGUGCCACUAGUGGAUAUAUACGCCCCUGCCAGGCCAUCUCUACCCUCCAAAGGAAUAAAGUCACAUCUUUCCUUACUUCUCUCCAUAACUCAGUCUAUCGAGUUCUCUAAACAACCUCGUAUAUCUCCUUCCGCACUCUUUUCCAGCUCAGUGGCAUCUUUGCAACAGCAGUGGCACCAAAACGCAAGCACGAACGUCUUGUACAAUUCCAACGUGUCCUGGUGAAUCCAGUGCUCAGCGCCCUGAGUGAUGACGGUCCGGGUGUCGAAUCUCCUGUCUAACGGUGUCGCUUGUUGUCCACCAUAAUCACCGCCUGAUUUAUUAUCUGAGACUGUUCCGACUAUAAAACCGCACUGAGACGAGACGGGGCACUGCCGUGAUGUUAUCACUGACUUGUAAAACCGACUCUUCGCUCUUGAAAUAUUCCCAGAUUAGCACGACUGAAACAGCGGAAACGGGAAUUUUGAGCAAACGGUACUGUCCCUGUUGCAGUCAAGUUUCACUAAUAUCUGCAGUGUCAGGCUUAGAGGCGUUAACCCCUGCACUGAGCGCAUCUGCACUUCGAACAAUACUUAUUGAAUUGAAACGUACGCAGCUCAGAACAGGAGUACCCGCAGGCUCCACUUAUUGCUUCAUUACUUUGCCUGUGUUCUUAACAACGUUUGUCCCAACAACCACUCAAAUAUCUGUAAUGGCGUUCUUGUUUUCAUCCCCUGCAAAUCUGGUUUUUACCACCGCUUCCCAUCUUUUGAUGGCAAAACUGACCGCUGGGAUAUUAGUUUCAAUCGAGUUCAGGUGUAUAUUGAGAGAGUUGCACAUUGGAGAGGAAAGGAAAAAGCUGAGCAAGUUGGGUCGGGGAGGCUCGGCCUCCUGCAGGGGUCUGUGUUGCCCCCCAGUGUUCACUCGGCAGAAUACAAUCUCUGAUGUGAAGAAUAGUAGAUUACCGUGGCCUUCAAAGUGACCAGGGACUUCAAGCUGCAUAAAUGUGUGUGUGUGUGUGUGUGCGUGUGUGUGUGUGUGUGCGUGUGUGUGUGUGUGUGUGUGUGUGUGUGUGUGUGUGUGUGUGUGUGUGUGUGUGUGUGUGUGUGUGUGUGUGUGUAUACAUAAAUACUGCUUGAAUCUAUUUCACUGAUAUCCUACAUAUGCUUGCUAUCUUUUUAUUUUAUACAUAUUAUGUAUGAAUUGUGCCGUGCGGGACUGUUGGUGUUGUGUUUUGCAGCUUGGC